UUCAAACAAGCCUAUAAUGUUGUAAGCCUGAAAUUAUUUUUUGCUUUUAAACUGCUAAAUUAGUUUUCUGUGUUGGAUUGAAAUAAUGUGUGCAGAGUCAAAAAUUCGGUUAACAAAAGGAAACUUUAAAAUGAUGAUUUUGUUUUAUGCUAUAUAACAAACAAACAUUACAGUACCAUAAAACUUAUUAUAAUAACUAAACUUAAUUCAGGACUUAAAUUAUAAUGUUAUAUGUUCUUAAAAAUCACCAAAUUUGCUAUAAGCCUAAACUAAAUCUGUCACGCAAAAUGGUAGCUAACUGCAGUAGUAGUCACGAAAUAAAGAAGGGGUAAAACUAUGCAUUUUGUAUUGUUCACCGACUAGUUGUCAAGAUUUUUUAUGUCACAAUACACAAAAUUUUAUGAGAAAAUGAGCCCUAAAACCUCGUAGUUUUAAGAAAUUUCAAGAAAAUCUCCAAUUUUUAAAAACACUGAUAUUUACAAAUAUUAAACCACAAUAAAUUCAACACAAGUUUCUUUUUACAUUAUACAUCCUGACAGAAAAAGAUUUUAACUUUAUGCAGGCAUGCUAAUUAAUAAAUUUGUCUAAGAUCUUUUUAUAAAAGUGUUUUAAAAUAUAACUUUUAGGGAUAUUAUGCACUGUUAUUAAGUUACAAAAUAUUUUCCAGAAUAUUCUUAAAAUAAACUUUUACAGAAUAGACGAAUCUGCCAAAACAUAUUGUUUUAAACUUGCUACAAACUACCAACGUUUUGAUUUUUUCACCACCAAUAUUUUUUAGAAGUUUUAGUAGGAGUAGACAAAAUUUGUAUACAUAUUGAAUAUGUCAAUCUAAUUAUUUUGUUUGUUUGAAACUUGUGAUAUAAUAUAUAAUAUAAAAACUUUACUUAAUUUUCUUCAAGAUGUGAGUGGGAUUUCAUGUAUCAGUACAAGCCUCAGACCUGUCGUUUAUGUUUAAAAAUUAACUAGCAGAUUCAGAAAUUGUGCAGGGUGACCACUCCUUAAAUUACUUAAAAAAGUAAAAUAAAGUACUUAAAAGUACUUAAAAAAAAUGAAAUUUUAGCUACUCUCCUUAAUUUCUCCUUAUUUCUUAAUUUUUUCGAUUGUACCUUUUUUGGAAAUGUGUUUAUGGAUUGUUCAUCACCAGUGAAAUACGACAUAUUUCUCUGUUAACUGAAAUUUAAGAUAGAGAACUAAAAUUGGUUUUCUCCUUAAUUAUCCUUAUUUUUUUAUUCUUGUUUGCAGCAAAAUAUCCUUAAAAAAUGUCAAUCUGUCUCCUUAAUUCUCCUUAUUAUCCUUACUUUUAUUCUCAUUUUAUUAGUGGUCACCCUUUUGUGGUAGCAGUAAAAAUCACAAGGUCUGAGGGAGAGGAUUAAUACUGAUGCAUGGUCAUGUUUGGGUGCAAAGAACAGGCAUAAGUUAAACAUUAAAAAUCCAGGCAAAAUGAAAAAAAUGCUUCUUAUGCUCUUUUAAUGUAUACAUUUACGUUUUUUUCAAUUUUCGCCGUAAAUUUUUUAAUUUAACUUGCACCCGUUCGAUGCACCUUUCCCACUCAACAUCUGAGGGCUUGAAGUUUUGCCUGACAUCACUCCAAAUCCGCGUUGUUCUUACAGGGUCCAAUUGUCUGCACCCUCUCUUGCCUGUCAAAUUGGACUCCUUUAAGACAUCCAGAGGAAAUGAAGCAAGGAUCGUUUUGUAUGCGCAGUCGCAAAUCUCUGUAGCAUCCUAUGCUGUACUAAGUACAGCAUUGUUUGUGUCAUUACAUCCAGGCAUUGUGUGAAAAUUUGAUGAAUUUGGCUGGCAAGUUGGUGGAUCAUUUGGCAGGGGUGAAAGCGGUGGUAGUAGAUCGAAUUGUGGUACUGAGGCAGACGUUGUUUCAAAUGAUGGUACUGUUGUGUUGGUGGGGGAAAGUUGCUGUUCUGAUACAUUUUGGAAGAAUCUUGGAAUAAUGGUGGUGUUCAUGAAGUCAAUGAGUUGGUCCAGUUUGAAAUUAAUGUGAAUUUAAUUGGCUUGCACGAUGGUCAGUUGUGUGCUCAAAUCUUGGUUAGUUGGUUGUGGUGGGAGUGGCUGAAUCAUUGGUGGAGAUGGUAAUGGUGGUGUUAUCUGUUUUAUUUGUGGCAGCAUUGAAGUUGGCGACGGUGAUGUUGGUGGUGACGGUGAUGUUGGUGGUGACGGUGAUGUUUGUGGCGACUGUGAUGUUGGUGGCGGCGGUGAUGUUGGUGGCGGUGGUGAUAAUUUAGUGCUUAUUUUGUUUUUGAUUUUUUUUUAGGGCAUUUCAGGUAGUCUUUGUAGGAUAGAAUUGAGGUGAAAAGUUGGUUCUAAAAAGAUAACAUUACAUCCAGUCAUAAAGUUGUACAGCCAGGUAGCAAAGUUGAGUUCUAGAUGAAAAAGAAAAAAUAUGGUGGUAAAGUUAAAACCUACAUAAAACCUGCACGAGCAUGUUUGGCAUUACGCGGUGGAACACAUACCUUGACUCCAGCAGCAGAGCUUUUGAAUAUACAGUCGUCAGUUGUCGAAUUCUAUAAGUACAUAAUAGCAGUUUAUAAUAAAUUAUAUUUUGUUUAGUUGUUUGUCCUUGUUGCACUUAAUUUUCCAAUAAAAACGAAAAAAAUAUACCAUUGGUGUCUCCUGGACUUCUUUGUCUUCUUUUUUACUUCUUUCGUUCUAAAAAUGUGCAUAAAAUAAUUUGAUUCUGUGCGCGCUUUGAUAUGAAUCAGUGAAAUUUAUUUCGAAGAUGGCUGUUUUUAUUUCGUUCUUAUAAAAACUUAUUAAUUCUUGAAUAAGUUGUUAUUUCACCUAAUUUUUCAGCAGUAAAAAAACUUACCAUGGCUUCUAUUUCUUCAUGAUUUUCCUCAAAGCACCGACGCUUACCCAGCAUUUCUUUAUUAUCUACAAAAAUGAUCUGUUGUGACAAGACAUUUUUUUGUUAGGAAAAUGCGCGUAAGAGAAUAGAAAUAGAAAAUGGAGUAAUGACCGGCUUGGUUAGAUUGAAGUAUUUUUUUAACAAAGCGAAAGGAAAAUUCAUACCAUUUAAAUCUAAAAUUUCCCCUGUAAAUCUUUUUCGCUUGAAGGUGGCGACACAUCGCCCACCAAUUCGCACAUCUGCAUCUUUUAAUGCUGCGACAGCGAGCGGAAUAGUGAUGUCAUCUGCAUCAAAAUAAACCAAGGCAUAUUUCGGCAUUCUACUUUUCAAACUUCGUUCGGCGCGGUCAGGACAAAACAUCCUCGAAGAUAUCGUGAUAGCCUUCCCUGGGAGCUGCAGAGCGGGGCUUUGAAAAAAGCUUUUUUUUGGCGGGGAACCCCUUGCAGUGCAAGGUGGUUUAUACGCUAUUACAUUUUUGGCAAAAAACUAGCAUAAUCCAUGUCGUAUUUAAACGAUAAUAGAAACCAGGCCACGCAAUCACAUGAUUUAGAUCAUCUUGAACAGGGUCACAUGAUACUAUUUUUCAUUCAGCAUCGGCACAAAUGGUGCAAGAAACUAGUUUCUGCUAACAACCGUCAUGGCUGUUAGUAAACGAACUGCUACUGAAGUCGAAAUGGAGGACAAGGAGUUUAUCGAAUCCGAAAAGAUAGGUUCAUUUUUAAAAAAGGGAAGAAGCUUGGGAAUAAUAAAUUGUCCUGUGUAAGCUCUUUUUCCUUAAAAGAGAUUCAAUACUCACGAAAUUCAAUGAACGAACUUUCUUCCGAAGAAAGUGAUGUUUUUAUUCUAUCUUUUCUUCAGUUUUAUUGCCGACGUAAAAAAAAUUCUAUUUUAAGGGCUGAAAAAGAUGACAAAAAAGAAAAAAAAUGAAGGUAAGCCAUUUUUCAGUCACAAAAUAUCCUUUUUUAGUAAAUCUGUUAUUAUUUUAUUUUAACUUUUAGACGUUUAGUCAGUGGAAAACAAAGAUUACCUAACAUGGAAACAGUUUCGUGCAUAUAGAAAAAAUAAUCCAGGCCCUACAAGCAAAAGAAGCUUUAAAGCCUGGACCUCCAAUGGAGGUCAAGACCACAAAAAUUUCAAAUGGGAAAAAAGGGAGAAAAAAAUAUCACACCAUCCAUCACAACACCGAUACCAACCACCACAACACCGAUACCAGCCACCACAACACCGAUACCAACCCUACCAACCUCCACCCACGUAUUCCGCUAGAAACCUUGAAAUUUAAAUAAAUCAGGGUAGCACCGAACAAAAGUUUAAUUAGGUGCUCCAUAAAUAAUAAUUGUUUGUAACCAAAAUUAGGGCUAAGUGGACCAAAAAGGUGUCCAGGUUUAGUUUAGUCAGUAAAAAAACCAUUAUUUAUGGAAGACUAGUACACUCAAUUUGAAUAAAGAAAAUCAUUUUUUUAUGGAUCUUUUAUGUUAUGGAGCUUCCAUAUUAUGUUUUAAAACAAAUUUUUGAUGAGGUAUCGAUUUCAGUAUUAAAAAGGUGUGUAUUGGCCUUACCCAAAUUAGUUUUUAAUAAUUUAUUAAAUUUUUCUGCCUUUUUUCCCACAUUAAUAAUCAGUCUUUCUAUUUCAAUUAUAACUUGAAAGUUUUGCAACCAAACCUGAGCUAAUGUUAUAUAAACAGCUAAAUGAAAUAACAGUACAUUGUAAGCUUGUACAAUAUAAUACACUUUUCUUAAUAAUAUAAUUCUAAACAAAGUUUUCUUUUAACUUAUGUGUGAUUUCUGGUUAGCUAUACUAGGAACAUUAGUACACAUUAUUCUGUCUGUAUCGUUUGAUUUACCACUGAUAUUAGUAAACUUUUAAGGCAAAAUAAACUUAAAUCAAAAAGCUUUCUAGUUAAAUAAAACUCGCUUUUACAGCACUUACUGUAUCGAUUGUUAUGAAAUACAUGGAUACAAAUUCUUGUUGCAUGGAAUGUUUUGUUCCGCCAUCUUGCUGUUUCAAACCAUGAUGCUUAACGUAUACCGUCAUGCCUUGUAUCUCCCAGAUUUUUUAAUUCUAUUGUUUGCAUUGUUGGUGUUUGCACACCGUAACUAAUGUUUUAUAAAUUAGUUCCAAGGUCCCCAUGCAUCUCUUUGUGUGAUUCUGGAACUCGCGUUCAAGUUUGCAGUCAACUUUCUUAGUAUUUUUAUUUCCAUUUCUACUAAUGUUAGUAAGGGUUGAAGUAAUUAUAUUGCAAUAUAAUUAUAUAAAAAAAGUAAUAAAUAAUUAUUUAGCUUUCA